UUAUUACAACUAAGGUAGGUUACACCACAGCAAGAUGAUUACAACUAAGGUAGGUUGCACCACAGCAAGAUGAAUACAACUAAGGUAGGUUGCACCACAGCAAGAUGAAUACAACUAAGGUAGGUUGCACCACAGCAAGGUGAAUACAACUAAGGUAGGUUGCACCACAGCAAGAUGAAUACAACUAAGGUAGGUUGCACCACAGCAAGAUGAUUACAACUAAGGUAGGUUACACCACAGCAAGAUGAUUACAACUAAGGUAGGUUGCACCACAGCAAGAUGAAUACAACUAAGGUAGGUUGCACCACACCACAGCAAACUGAAUACAACUAAGGUAGGUUGCACCACACCACAGCAAGAUGAAUACAACUAAGGUAGGUUGCACCACACCACAGCAAGAUGAAUACAACUAAGGUAGGUUGCACCACACCACAGCAAGAUGAAUACAACUAAGGUAGGUUGCACCACACCACAGCAAGAUGAAUACAACUAAGGUAGGUUGCACCACACCA